UGCGUAGGGGGCAAGCGUUAUCCGGAUUUACUGGGUGUAAAGGGAGCGUAGACGGUAGUGCAAGUCUGGAGUGAAAGGCGGGGGCCCAACCCCCGGACUGCUCUGGAAACUGUGCGACUAGAGUGCAGGAGAGGUAAGUGGAAUUCCUAGUGUAGCGGUGAAAUGCGUAGAUAUUAGGAGGAACACCAGUGGCGAAGGCGGCUUACUGGACUGUAACUGACGUUGAGGCUCGAAAGCGUGGGGAGCAAACAGG
rnacentral:rRNA from 1 species